rnacentral:rRNA from 1 species
GUAGUCCACGCCCUAAACGAUGCGAACUGGAUGUUGGGUGCAACUAGGCACUCAGUAUCGAAGCUAACGCGUUAAGUUCGCCGCCUGGGGAGUACGGUCGCAAGACUGAAACUCAAAGGAAUUGACGGGGGCCCGCACAAGCGGUGGAGUAUGUGGUUUAAUUCGAUGCAACGCGAAGAACCUUACCUGGCCUUGACAUCCACGGAACUUUCCAGAGAUGGAUUGGUGCCUUCGGGAACCGUGAGACAGGUGCUGCAUGGCUGUCGUCAGCUCGUGUCGUGAGAUGUUGGG